GUUGCUGUGGUGUAGUGGUUAUCACGUUUGUCUUACACACAAAAGGUCCCCAGUUCGAUCCUGGGCAGCAGCA